rnacentral:rRNA from 2 species
UCGGGAAUAUUGCGCAAUGGAGGAAACUCUGACGCAGUGACGCCGCGUGCAGGAAGAAGGUUUUCGGAUUGUAAACUGCUUUAGACAGGGAAGAAACAAGACAGUACCUGUAGAAUAAGCUCCGGCUAACUACGUGCCAGCAGCCGCGGUAAUACGUAGGGAGCAAGCGUUAUCCGGAUUUAUUGGGUGUAAAGGGUGCGUAGACGGGAAAACAAGUUAGUUGUGAAAUCCCUCGGCUUAACUGAGGAACUGCAACUAAAACUAUUUUUCUUGAGUGUUGGAGAGGAAAGUGGAAUUCCUAGUGUAGCGGUGAAAUGCGUAGAUAUUAGGAGGAACACCAGUGGCGAAGGCGACUUUCUGGACAAUAACUGACGUUGAGGCACGAAAGUGUGGGGAGCAAAC